rnacentral:lncRNA from 9 species
CUGAGAAGUCAUAAUAUCAUUAAAUACAAUAUCCACACCAGAGGAUGCUGUUCCUGUCUAGGACACCUCCUUGUUUUACAGGUAAGGACUAAAGGCCCAGAGAGGGUAGAAGGCUUGCCUAAGUCACACAGCUGCUUAGAAUUUGGACUUAGAUCUCCAUCUCUGUCUGGUGUGAUCAACCUCAAGACCACCUUCUGGGACACACCCAAAGGGAGAACUCUGUCUCCAGAAAGAAUGAAGGGAUCAAGUCACCAUCAGGGAGAGAGCAGAGAGCUUUGUUGGGCUCCCUGGCCUUCCUGGCUCUCAGUUUUUGUCACAGCCAGUAGUGACACUGACACAGACCCACCUUUCCCUCCUGAGCCAGGCAGCUGGAUUCUCUCAGUAAGUCAUUCACAAUGCCCCCGGGGGGUGGACCGGGGAGGCUCUGCAUCAGGGUGUAUUCUGCACAAUGACUGUGACCCCACAAGCAGCCUCAGAUUUUCUCAGGUGCUAUGUAUGGUUCUUCCAACUUCUCCCUGGAGCCCUUUGGUUAAAGCAGGUGGGGGUAAGAGGUCAGAACACAAUUCCCAUCCAGCAGGUUUGACGGGUACAGAGCGUGUAGCAAGACUAAAAGCCCCAAUUCCACUCCUUAAUUAAAAACAUUUUUCAUUCCAAACCUAUAAAAGGCAGCUGUGCCUCUCUCCCCCUCCCCCACCAGACAUUGCUGCUCCUCGGUAUUGAGGGCUGCAGCUCAAAUCCUUCUUUCUCGGAGCUUGAAAGCAUGAGGCCAUCAAAGCCUGGUGCAGUCAUCUUCCUCCUCCACCUCCUCCUCACCCCUCUGGUUCCUCUUUUGCUGAGAAGCCAUCAUUUCCAUCUUGACAGUGACCUUGUAUUAGAAGCUUCUAGAGACACUUCUACACUGUGGACAGGUAUCCCCUCCCCCAUGACAGACAAGAAGCAGCUCUUAUAUUUUAUCGUUCUAAAAUCUCCUUUUCACCUGGACUUUUAAAAAGAAGUUCAGGCGGCACUUCCUCGGCUUCCUCAGCCGUCCUGAGGCUGUGAAUUCUUUGGGGUCUUCUUAGCUCAGACAUUUAGAAGCCUUUGGAAAAAGAGUGAGUGAACCACUUGCCAAGAGGUGAUCAGAAAAAAAAAAAAAAAUGAAAUAAACACUUGCUUGUGAUGGUUUUCAACCUUCAAUGACUCCUUCACACUUGAAUCCCCCUGAAUUAAGUCACUCGGUUUGAUUACCUGGUACAGAGGGUUAUAAGUCCAAUUCAGGGUGUGUUCUCAAUGUUACCCAUAAAUCAGCUAUCAAUAACCUGUUUGGGUGAAGAGAGGGGAAGAUAUCUAUUUAUAUAUACAUUCAUAUAUUCUUUUUUUUUUUGUCUUUGUCUUUUUAGGGCUGCACCUGCGGCAUAUGGAGGUUCCCAGGCUGGGUUCUAAUCAGAGCUGUAGCUGCAACCUACACCACAGCUUAGCGCAACAACACCGGAUCCUUAACCCACCAAUCGAGGUCAGGGAUCGAACAUGCAACCUCAUGGUUCCUAGUCAGAUUCGUUUCUGCUGCACCAUGAUGGGAACUUCUUUAUGUUCAUUUGUUUUUGCUCAUCUGACUUCUUACAGGGUCCUUAAGCUCUUUUUUUUUUUUUUUUUUUUUUUUUUUUUGUCUGCAGUAUUUUUCUCUGCUUUAUCCUCAAGGAUUCUCUACAAUAUUCAUAAGCAGGAAUAUCCAGUCUUCAUUCAGAUCUAUUUCCUUACUGGUCCUGAUCCAGACACCGGUCAAAGGCAACCCAGGACGGUGGCGGAUAGAACGCUGUGAGCAUUUUCCUCUUGCUGAGCUGAGUCUGCUGCCAUAGUUUAGAUGCUUGCUCACUUCGUGGACUUUCUCUUUCUGGAUUCCAACCAAAUGGUCUUAUUAAAUGUUUGGGGGGAAAAAAUUCUUGCUCUUGUGAGUGAUAUCAAAUACUAUCAAUAAAACUGAAGGAAAAGGGAGCCCAAGGCACCCGCAAGACUUUUAAGAUUUAAUUGUUCCGCAGAAUUUUAAGCAAGUAGUAGAAGGGAACUAAAUUGCACGAAACCAAAUAUUUUGCUCGAGGCUCCCAAUUCAUCUCACUUGCCGGUUCCCAGGGGCUAGUGCCAGCGCCGUGGAGCUUGGGACUUUCC